rnacentral:rRNA from 1 species
UACGUAGGGGGCAAGCGUUGUCCGGAUUUAUUGGGCGUAAAGAGCGCGCAGGCGGUCGUUCAAGUCGCGUGUGAAAGCCCCCGGCUCAACUGGGGAGGGUCACGCGAUACUGAUCGACUCGAAGGCAGGAGAGGGUAGUGGAAUUCCCGGUGUAGUGGUGAAAUGCGUAGAUAUCGGGAGGAACACCAGUGGCGAAGGCGACUACCUGGCCUGUUCUUGACGCUGAGGCGCGAAAGCGUGGGGAGCAAACAGG